rnacentral:rRNA from 1 species
UUUCUACAAGGUGCUGCAUGGUUGUCGUCAGCUCGUGCCGUGAGGUGUCGGGUUAAGUCCCAUAACGAGCGCAACCCUUAUCGUUAGUUGCCAUCUGGUAAAGCAGGGGACUCUAGCGAAACUGCCACCGUAAGGUGAGAGGAAGGUGGGGAUGACGUCAAAUCAGCACGGCCCUUAUGUCCAGGGCUACACACGUGUUACAAUGGUCGGUACAGAGGGCAGCUACCUGGUGACAGGAUGCUAAUCUCGAAAACCGGCCUCAGUUCGGAUCGAAGUCUGCAACUCGACUUCGUGAAGCUGGAUUCGCUAGUAAUCGCGCAUCAGCCAUGGCGCGGUGAAUACGUUCCCGGGCCUU